UGAGGUCCUAUUCGUUAUGUGACAAGAACAUGCAUUUUGAAUUAAAUUCAACCCUUAAUUACAGAGGGCUGCUUCCCUGUAGCAAAUUUGAUAUCAAUAAUGAUACAUUUCCUUCUGUAUACCCAGUGCUGCAUGUGCCUCAUUAACCAACCCUGCCUGGCUUUAAGUUGGCACAGCGUGUAUAUUGCCCUGGGGGACUACUGAGCCCUGCCGUGUGCGCCAACUAGCG